CUGGCCCUGAAUCAAGGCCAGCAACUUCCUGACACUGUUGAUUUCAAGCAGGAGCUUAAAGAGAUAUCUUUGUAUGGUCUGUUGACCCUUUCAGAACUCGGGCAGUGAAAUGAUCAAUUCAUUAGAAAGAAACAACU
ensembl:snoRNA small nucleolar RNA SNORA2/SNORA34 family